AUAGAAUCGAUUCUUGUGCCAAAUUGCAUGCUAAUAAUUCUUUUAAUUUUUGAGAAAGCUUUGAACGGUCGACAGUCAGAAUAUCGCAUAGAUUUCAUUAUAUUUUUUUAUUAAAUAUAUGUCUGUCAAAUUUGUGAUACAGAAAACUUUUCUGCCAACCCAGAUUUUUCAAUGCAAAAAUCUCUAACAGAUAUUUAUGGAAAUAUUCCAUCAAUCUCAAUAAAAAUUCGGUGAAUUAAAAAAAAUAAUAUAUAAUACUCGUAAGGAAGGCUCAUUUCUAAACUCGUUCAUUCAGAAACUCGCGACUUCAUGGCUCGUUAUUGAAUUUUGAACUCGUGGAAGAAUAUCAAUGCCUUCUGCACUUGUAUUAUAGAACUACCUGAUGGCAAUAAAAUUCGAAUUUUAUCGUUAUCUGUGAAAACCAAUCCCCAAGAAAUUCUUUCUAUAUCGAAAUUGCUGAUCGAAUAAGCAAAAAUGAAGCAGUGUUUAUUAGCAGUGUUAAAAAUAAGAAUUGAAAAUCCAUUAGGGACAUUAUGUUUUUUCCAUUGACAAACUUCUGAACUGUCGGUAUUUGCCACCCCCUAGGUUCACUAGUGCCAAUUUCAAACAAAUAGAACGCGAGAAAUUGAAAUACUCGGAAUUCUACGUUUGCGCAUGCUCAACGCGAGCAUCCUUAAUCUGAACAAACUAAAUCUAGAAAGAAUUGUAUAAAUUUCGGUUGCUACAAGUUGUUCAGGAUUGUCGAAAAUGCAUUUUGCGAGUGGAAAAGUUGAAGUCGGAGAUCAACAAUUUUUUAAUUCCAAAAGUGAUCACAAUGCUUCUACUGCCUUCGGUAGGUUCGGAAGCAACGUGCAUCAGCAGAGAUCAUGAAAUUCCACCAGACCAGUUCCAUAACAAACAGAAAAGACAUUCUUGAUAUGAAUAAAAAAAUGUAUUACUAGUAAACUAAGUGGACUUCAAUAGCAAACAUGCCAUGAAUGACCAUCAACUUCAAUCCAUCUGUAUGCAGUUAUUGAUUCAAAUAGUUUAGGUAGUAUUAAAAAAAAUUCAAUAUCAAGAUUUUUUUUUUUGCAUAAGAGAUGCAAUUGGUGGUGACAUGAAAUGAAUUGUUCAAACUCAAUCUAAACAUUUAUCAAAAGUACACCAGAUUCUAAUUAAUAAAACAGGUCUGCAGUCUAAUGUCCGAAACUAUUUGUCAAUUUAAGAUAUAAUCCAAGCAAAAAACUUUUGAUGAUGAUACCAUAAUAAUUGAGAUGUCUACAUUUUCAGAAAUGCACAAAAGUAAAAGGGAAACACUAGAUCUAAAAAUUAACUUAAGAACUACUAUAAAAAAAUUAAUGUAACUAUUAUUGAUGAUUAUUAUACUACACCUUUAGUGUAUCCCAAUUCUUCUUUUUGAAGUCUAUCGAAAAUAUCUGGAUGAUUUUUAAAUAUAUCACCUACUUGUUCAUUUUCACUCAUAUCAUCUGGUGAUUGCCAACGAUCAAAAUCGAUUUUAAGCCAUUGCGGCUUUUGAGGUUGAGAUAUUAAACGUGGCCACCACUCAUUUUUAUGUUUCAUAAUAACAAAUGUAAUAUUUUUUUCUGUUACUUUAUAUUUACACUCCUAUAAUUAAUCGAAUCCUAAUGAAUGUGUAAUAAAAAAAAAUAACAGGAAACUCA